UGGGGAAUAUUGCGCAAUGGGGGCAACCCUGACGCAGCAAUGCCGCGUGCGGGAUGACGGCCUUCGGGUUGUAAACCGCUUUCAGUAGGGAUGAUGAUGACAGUACCUACACAAGAAGCCCCGGCUAACUACGUGCCAGCAGCCGCGGUAACACGUAGGGGGCGAGCGUUAUCCGGAUUCAUUGGGCGUAAAGCGCGCGCAGGCGGAUGCCUAAGCGGGACCUCUAAUCUUGGGGCUCAACCUCAAGCCGGGUCCCGAACUGGACAUCUCGAGUGCGGUAGGGGAGGUCGGAAUUCCCGGUGUAGCGGUGGAAUGCGCAGAUAUCGGGAAGAACACCGACGGCGAAGGCAGACCUCUGGGCCGUCACUGACGCUGAGGCGCGAAAGCUAGGGGAGCAAACAGG
rnacentral:rRNA from 1 species